UAAAACUUGAGGGUAUAUAUCGGGGAGA
rnacentral:piRNA from 1 species